UACUUUAGCUUGCUAGAGUAGAAGGAGUUGCGAACGGGUGAGUAACGCGUAGGUAACCUGCCUACUAGCGGGGGGAUAACUAUUGGAAACGAUAGCUAAUACCGCAUAACAGUGUUUAACACAUGUUAGAUGCUUGAAAGAUGCAAAUGCAUCACUAGUAGAUGGACCUGCGUUGUAUUAGCUAGUUGGUGGGGUAACGGCCUACCAAGGCGACGAUACAUAGCCGACCUGAGAGGGUGAUCGGCCACACUGGGACUGAGACACGGCCCAGACUCCUACGGGAGGCAGCAGUAGGGAAUCUUCGGCAAUGGGGGCAACCCUGACCGAGCAACGCCGCGUGAGUGAAGAAGGUUUUCGGAUCGUAAAGCUCUGUUGUAAGAGAAGAACGUGUGUGAGAGUGGAAAGUUCACACA
rnacentral:rRNA from 1 species